UACGAAGGGGGCUAGCGUUGUUCGGAAUUACUGGGCGUAAAGCGCGCGUAGGCGGUGAUCCAUGUCAGAGGUGAAAGCCCGGGGCUCAACUCCGGAAUUGCCUUUGAAACGGGAUCGCUAGAGUCCGAGAGAGGAUGGCGGAAUUCCUAGUGUAGAGGUGAAAUUCGUAGAUAUUAGGAAGAACACCGGUGGCGAAGGCGGCCAUCAGGCUCGGUACUGACGCUCAGGCGCGAAAGCGUGGGGAGCAAACAGG
rnacentral:rRNA from 1 species